GCACGGUGGUGCAGUGGUUAGCACUGUCGCUUCACAGCAAGAAGGUCCUGGGUUCAAAUCCGGCCUGCG